rnacentral:rRNA from 1 species
GCGGAGGAAAAGAAAAUAACACUGAUUCCCUUAGUAACUGCGAGUGANGGGGGAAAAGCUCAAAUUUUAAAUCUGUUAGGUUAUACCUGACCGAGUUGUAAUUUGAAGAGGCGUUUUCUGAGGGUUUGAUCAGUCCAAGUCCUUUGGGAUAAGGCAUCAUGGAGGGUGAGAAUCCCGUUCGGUUGAUCAGAACUUCUUUACGAUACGUCAUCAAAGAGUCAAGUUGUUUGGGAUUGCAGCUUAAAAUGGGAGGUAAAUUUCUCCUAAGGCUAAAUAACGGCGAGAGACCGAUAGCGAACAAGUACCGUGAGGGAAAGAUGAAAAGAACUUUGAAAAGAGAGUUAAACAGUACGUGAAAUUGUUGAAAGGGAAACGAUUGAAGCCAGUCGUACCGGCGGGUAAUCAGCCUUUUGGGUGUGAUUAUGUGGAGCGUGAGGAGUUAAUCACCCUCAUCUUUGCAUAUUCGUGCACUUUGGGUGUACUUGCUCGUGUGGUAGGUUAACAUCAAUUUUGAUCGUCAUAAAAUGAUUGGAGGAAUGUAGCUUCGAUCUCGUAUUGAAGUGUUAUAGCCUUCGGUAGAUGUGAUGAUUGGGAUUGAGGAUUGCAACGGAUACCCUUCGGGGCUACCUGUCUGAUCUCUGAAAGUUGCUCUGGUGCUGAAAGCUUGCUUAUGGUAUCAAAGUUGACGUUCAACAGGUUAGAACGGGAUAAAUUCGUUAAGGAUGUUGACGUAAUGGCUUUAAACGACCCGUCUUG